rnacentral:lncRNA from 1 species
CACCUGGGACACACCUGAGCACACCUGGGACACACCUGAGCACACCUGGGGACACCUGAGAUACACCUGGGCACACCUAGGCACAUGUGGGACACACCUGGGCACACCUGGGACACACCUGGGCACACCUGGCCAUGCAGAUGUUGGAUUUUUCCCGCCAUUCCCGGUUUUUUUCUCACCUUUUCCCGUUUUUCCCGUUUUUCUCCCCAAACCGCAGCCGGAUUUCGUCGGCAUCAUCUGCACCCGCCUGAGCCCCAAGAGACUGAUCGAGAAAUGGGUGGACUUCGCCAGGCGGCUCUGCGAGCACCAGUACGGGAACGCGCCGCGCGUGCGCAUCAACGGCCACGUGGCCGCGCGGUUCCCGUUCAUCCCCCUGCCCCUGGACUACGUCCUGCCCGAGCUGCUCAAGAACGCCAUGAGGGCGACGAUGGAGUCGCACCUGGACACUCCGUACAACGUCCCCGACAUCGUGGUGACGAUCGCCAACAACGACAUCGACCUCGUCAUCCGGAUUUCGGACCGGGGGGGAGGAAUUCCCCACGAUUUGCUGGACAAAGUCACCGAGUACCAGCAGUGACCCCAAACACCCCAAAACACCCCAAAACUCCCUGAAAUGACCCAAAAUGACCCAAAAUCACCCCGAAAUCACCCGAAUUUUCCGGAAUUUUCCGGAAUUCCCGUUUUUUGGCAGGAUUUCGGACGGGGGGGAGGAAUUCCCCACGAUUUGCU